rnacentral:misc_RNA from 1 species
UGCAGACCCACAAAGAUGUACUUACUGU